UCGUGGCUGCCACCAUGGCUCGCCACGUGGAAUCAAUUGCGGGGAGUGGAGCGGCGUCCGUUGUCGUGACUCGCCAGGGAGUGGUGGAACCGCACAGGAUUCGCCGCAGGGAGUGGAGCAGAAUAGUGGCCGUUAUUACGGCCUGCCAGGGAGUAAUGGAGCCACGUAGGAACUGCCGCAGGGAGUGGAGCAGAAUCGUGGCCAUUAUUGUGGCCUGCC
rnacentral:lncRNA from 1 species